UACGGGGGGGGCAAGCGUUGUUCGGAAUUACUGGGCGUAAAGGGCUCGUAGGCGGCCAACUAAGUCGGAUGUGAAAUCCCCAGGCUUAACCUGGGAAUUGCAUUCGAGACUGAAUAGCUAGGGUACGGUAGAGGGAAGUGGAAUUUCCGGUGUAGCGGUGAAAUGCGUAGAUAUCGGAAGGAACAUCAGUGGCGAAAGCGACUUCCUGGACCAGUACCGACGUUCAGGCACGAAAGCGUGGGGAGCGAACAGG
rnacentral:rRNA from 1 species